GACGAACGCUGGCGGCGUGCCUAAUACAUGCAAGUAGAACGCUGAAGGAGGAGCUUGCUUCUCUGGAUGAGUUGCGAACGGGUGAGUAACGCGUAGGUAACCUGCCUGGUAGCGGGGGAUAACUAUUGGAAACGAUAGCUAAUAUCGCAUAAGAGUAGAUGUUGCAUGACAUUUGCUUAAAAGGUGCAAUUGCAUCACUACCAGAUGGACCUGCGUUGUAUUAGCUAGUUGGUGGGGUAACGGCUUACCAAGGCGACGAUACAUAGCCGACCUGAGAGGGGGAUCGGCCACACUGGGACUGAGACACGGCCCAGACUCCUACGGGAGGCAGCAGUAGGGAAUCUUCGGCAAUGGACGGAAGUCUGACCGAGCAACGCCGCGUGAGUGAAGAAGGUUUUCGGAUCGUAAAGCUCUGUUGUAAGAGAAGAACGAGUGUGAGAGUGGAAAGUUCACACUGUGACGGUAUCUUACCAGAAAGGGACGGCUAACUACGUG
rnacentral:rRNA from 1 species